GUGAAAGGGAAAGAGAAAGAAAUUGCUAUCUAUGGGAAUUAUCGACAUUACUACGGCUAUCGAAUUGGUCAAGGUUUAGAUGAAGACCCUAGGAUAAAGGUUAUGAAGAAGGAAUGGUUUGAAGGAAAGGAUUGUCUGGACAUUGGAUGCAAUGCUGGUUCAAUUACUAUUUCCAUUGCAAGAAAAUUCGAUUGUCGUAGCAUCCUUGGAAUUGACAUUGAUA